rnacentral:rRNA from 1 species
UGGGGAAUUUUCCGCAAUGGGCGAAAGCCUGACGGAGCAACGCCGCGUGAGGGAUGAAGGCCUCUGGGCUGUAAACCUCUUUUCUCAAGGAAGAAGAUCUGACGGUACUUGAGGAAUAAGCCAUGGCUAAUUCCGUGCCAGCAGCCGCGGUAAUACGGGAGUGGCAAGCGUUAUCCGGAAUUAUUGGGCGUAAAGCGUCCGCAGGCGGCCUCGUAAGUCUGUCGUUAAAGCGUGGAGCUUAACUCCAUUUCAGCGAUGGAAACUGCGAGGCUAGAGUGUGGUAGGGGCAGAGGGAAUUCCCGGUGUAGCGGUGAAAUGCGUAGAUAUCGGGAAGAACACCAGUGGCGAAGGCGCUCUGCUGGGCCAUAACUGACGCUCAUGGACGAAAGCCAGGGGAGCGAAAGGGAUUAGAUACCCCUGUAGU